rnacentral:rRNA from 1 species
ACACUGACGUCGCGACGCAUAUCAAUAAGCGGAGGAAAAGAAACUAACAAGGAUUCCCUUAGUAACGGCGAGUGAAGCGGGAAGAGCUCAAAUUUGAAAUCUUCAAGGUUCCUACCUUGACGAAUUGUAGUUUAAAGAAGUGUUUUCUGUUAGAUGAGUAGGCAAAAGUUCCUUGGAAUAGGACAUCAUAGAGGGUGAGAAUCCCGUAUUUGGUUAUUCAUUCUAGCUUUGUGAUACACUUUCAAAGAGUCGGAUUGUUUGGGAAUGCAGUCCAAAAUGGGUGGUAAAUUUCAUCUAAAGCUAAAUAUUGGCGAGAGACCGAUAGCGAACAAGUACCGUGAGGGAAAGAUGAAAAGAACUUUGAAAAGAGAGUUAAACAGUACGUGAAAUUGUCAAAAGGGAAGCGUUUGACACCAGUGUUGUUUUUCCGAAAAUCAAUUAUAAAUGUUUUGUUUCUGAGGAGUGAUGACUUCAUCGGCUUCCUUCUCUCUUCACGAAACUUUUGUAAUGCACUUUUCGGUUAACAAGUCAACAUCAAUUUCUUUUGUUGUAAAAGAGUAUUCGGAAGGUGGCUUUCUUUUCGGAGAAAGUGUUUAUAGCCCUAUACUUCUACAAUCGGAGAGAUUGAGGUCUGCAGCGUAGAUCCUUCGGGGUUAGAUACACUUGUGCUAAGUUAUAGCUUUUCAUAGACAACUUGUUGACUAUGUUUAGUCUUGUAGCUUACUCGCUUGUGCUAUUUUACCUACGCUUAGGAUGUUGAGUCGUAGAGCACGCAG